CCAUUUUUUUUUCUCUCCGCCUCUUUCACUUUUUUUUUUCUCUCACAACGAUUCAAACCCACUUCUUCCUCUGCAGAUCUACACAUGGUAAAUCGAUUUUCCACUUUGAUUUGUUAAUAGGGUUUUUCUCUUAUUUUCUUUCCCUCGUCUGUUUUCUCUUCUUCCGUCGCCUCUGUAGAACUUAAGCAAAUCUAGGGUUUUAGUUGUGAAGAAGAACAAGAAUAUGAGUUACGCUAAUAUCUGGAAUUCUCAUCCUACGAAUUCUGAACCUGAAUAUCGUAGUUGUUAGAAUCGUAGUUCUUUUGUCUCAAGUCUUAUAGAACUCGUUGUUAACACCUUCCUUUCAGUGUUAGAGAUUUCCCAUGGUAAGGAAGUCUUACUAAGAGCAGUGUCAUGAGAAUUGUGAUUGUUAAGAGUUAAGGAUUGCUUGAAAUUGUUGCCUUGUUGGGUUUGCAUCUGGAAUCGAAUUGGCAAGAGAACAAGUUCUGAGGGGAGCUCAAUACCAAAAAGAGAAACACACCUUUAAACACCACGGAAACUGCACAUCAUGUGUGAUGAAAAGCCUGAAAGAAGAUGACUCUUAUUCCUCUUUGAUACUAGCAACUUGGGAGUCCAACAAUUAUAGCUUUUAAUGGUGGAAGAAUGAAACCUCAAACUUGCAAGGAAAUACCAAUAUUGGUACAUUUACCGUCAUGUGCUUCAUAGAGAGUUUUUUUUAUGUACUGCUUAUAUUCUGCGAUGUCAUCUCGCCAAGCUGCAUACAGAUUUUUAGUGCCUAAAUUGUGUAAGCACACUUAGAGGUCAAUCUCUUUCCUAAUUAGAAAAUGAUAGUAGGAGAAGACACUUGGACGUUGUACAGCGCCAAGUGACAACAGUCUACAGAAAUGAAGAAAUCUCUGUGACAAACAUUUGGUACCUUCAUGGAUGCCGGCACUCUGUUCCCGAUGGUCUCUCUGUUCCCGAUGGUCUCAUGAGGCUAACUGAUGUCAUGGUUGAUGGUAAGAUUGUUGUUCCUGCUGGAUGUAGAAAUGGUUGAAAGGGUUGUGCGUCUGCAGUUCUGCUCUCACGCAAGCUAGUGCCAAGAUCCUAAUGACUGAAAUUGUUGUUGAAAUUCUCAGGAAUGGAAUCACUUAAGAAACCUUAAUAAUUAGAAGUUUUUUUUUAAUGAUUUUGGACUAAAUUUAUGAGUACAGUUCAAUGUAAUCGAGAUGUCAUUUGGUAUUAUACGAAUCAGGUUCUAUAUGGAAUUUGAAUUUGAGAAUUUGAAUUUUACUUGAAUUUGAGAACUUGAAUAAUUUCAUUUGAAUUUGAAUUGUCAUUUAAAUUUCAGU